AGGGGUAUAGCAAAGCGGUAAGGCACAGGAUUCUGAUUCCGGCAAUCCGAGGUUCGAAUAAUAGUACCACAGACA
rnacentral:tRNA from 1 species